CAACAGGGAUUGCCUUAGUAACGGCGAGUGAAGCGGCAAAAGCUCAAAUUUGAAAUCUGGCGCCUUCGGUGUCCGAGUUGUAAUUUGAAGAAGGCUACUUUGGAGUUGGCUCUUGUCUAUGUUCCUUGGAACAGGACGUCACAGAGGGUGAGAAUCCCGUGCGAUGAGAUGCCCAAUUCUUUGUAAAGUGCUUUCGAAGAGUCGAGUUGUUUGGGAAUGCAGCUCUAAGUGGGUGGUAAAUUCCAUCUAAAGCUAAAUAUUUGCGAGAGACCGAUAGCGAACAAGUACAGUGAUGGAAAGAUGAAAAGAACUUUGAAAAGAGAGUGAAAAAGUACGUGAAAUUGUUGAAAGGGAAGGAUUUGAGAUCAGACUUGGUAUUUUGCAACCUUACCCUCGUGGUGGGGCCCCUGCAGUUUACUGGGCCAGCAUCAGUUUGGAUGAUGGGAUAAUGACUAAGGAAUGUGGCUCUGCUUCGGU
rnacentral:rRNA from 1 species